UGUAUGGUACUGCGUGCGUAGACAUAUGUGCGUGUCUCUGCAAAAGGACAUAAAAGCAGAUAUCGUUUAUUUGAUAGUACCUUACUACUUGGAUACCCGUGGAAAUUCUAAGAGCCUAAUACCAUGGCUGAAGACCCCCGACUCACCUGAGGGGCGUAUUUUUUAGAUAAAAAACCGAUGCCCUCCGGGGCUCACCGGUGAUUCCAUAAUAACUUCUCCGGAUCGCACGGCCUUGGGCCGGCGAUGGUUCAUUCAAAUUUCUGCCCUAUCAACUUUUCGAUGGCUGGGUUCUUGCCCAGCCAUGGUGACUACGGGGUAACGGAGGGUUAGGGCUUCGGACCCCGGAGAGGGAGCCUGAGAAACGGCUACCACAUCCAAGGGAAGGCAGCAGGCGCCGCAAAUUACCCCAUCCCCGACCCGGGGGAGGUCGUUACAAUAAAAUACUGAUGUAGGGCUCCUUUUUGGGUCCUUGGCAAUUGGCAUGAGUCCAAAUUUAAAUCCCUUCAACGAGGAAUUAUUGGAGCACUACCCCGGGGUCGGGAGCCGGCGGUAAUUUGCGCCCCCGCUGCCGUAUAUUAAAGUUGUUGAGGUUAAAAAGCUCGUAGUUGAACCUUGGGCCUGGGUGGCCGUUUUGCCUCACCGCGUGCACUGGUUCGGCCGGGUCUCCCUCUCCGGGGUCGAGGCCUGCCCCUUUACUGGGCGUGCUGGGGAAACCGGGACCGUUACCCGUUGUCAAAUUGGCUGGCUUAAAAAAGACCCAGCCAUCGAAAGUUGCAGCAUAGGGCAAUGAAAUUUGAAUGAACCAUGGCGCUAGGCCGUGCGAUCCGAGAACCGUUAUCAUGAAUCACCGGUGAACCCCGGAGGGCAUCGGUUUUUAAUUGUUCAAGAGGUGAAAUUCUUGGGAUUCUAUUAAAUACGAAACCCCUCCGUGAGUCGGGGUCUCCAAGGCAUGUUUUAGUUAAUCAGGAACUAGAAUUAGGGUAUCCAAGAUAGUAAGGUACUAUCGUAGUCUUUUUUUUAAACGAUAACGCCUCCCGCUCAAAGGGAUCGGGGGGUGUGAUUUAAUAACCCCCUCGCACUUUCACGAAUAAUCGAGAAGUGAUAGACAUC
rnacentral:rRNA from 1 species